rnacentral:lncRNA from 1 species
AAAUAGGUUCAUCACUGUGAAGAUUUCUGGACAUUCUGCCACCACCUUGGUCUACAAGUGGCAUUCCCAAAGCCUGAAGCUAUCUUUGGCACCUGUAAAACGCCAGCCUUUCCCUCCAUGCCUACCCAAAGUGGCACAUCACAGACUUCUUGAGCUUAGAACACUAGACAACACAUCAGUAUUGCACUUGCAGCUCAUUUUAAACAGCAUCACCAACAACAGCACAGAAAUGCAAGAAACACGCCACUAAACAGACCACAAAGAGACACGUUUACAGUAUCCCUGAAACAAGAAGAGCGUAGGCUUGUUCGACCUCAGCUGGGAACAUUCACAAG